rnacentral:rRNA from 1 species
AUUGAACGCUGGCGGCGUGCCUAACACAUGCAAGUCGAGCGGUAACAGGUGUAGCAAUACAUGCUGACGAGCGGCGGACGGGUGAGCAAUAUUUGGGAAUCUGCCUAUUAGUGGGGGACAACCCGGGGAAACUCGGGCUAAUACCGCAUACGCACUACGGUGGAAAGCCGGGGACCGCAAGGCCUGGCGCUAAUAGAUGAGCCCAAAUCGGAUUAGCUAGUUGGCGGGGUAGAAGCCCACCAAGGCUACGAUCCGUAGCUGGUCUGAGAGGACGAUCAGCCACACUGGAACUGAGACACGGUCCAGACUCCUACGGGAGGCAGCAGUGGGGAAUUUUGGACAAUGGGCGCAAGCCUGAUCCAGCCAUGCCGCGUGAGUGAAGAAGGCCUUCGGGUUGUAAAGCUCUUUCGGUGGGGACGAAACGGUUCGUGCUAAUACCACGGACUAAUGACGGUACCCGAAGAAGAAGCACCGGCUAACUACGUGCCAGCAGCCGCGGUAAUACGUAGGGUGCAGGCGUUAAUCGGAAUUACU